rnacentral:tRNA from 1 species
GCAUCCAUCGUAUAAUGGCUUAUUAUGACUGGCUUCCACCCAGUAGAUGAGGUUUCGAUUACCUCUGGAUGCU